GAUGAACGCUGGCGGCGUGCCUAAUACAUGCAAGUCGAGCGAACGGACGAGAAGCUUGCUUCUCUGAUGUUAGCGGCGGACGGGUGAGUAACACGUGGAUAACCUACCUAUAAGACUGGGAUAACUUCGGGAAACCGUAGCUAAUACCGGAUAAUAUUUUUAACCGCAUGGUUCAAAAGUGAAAGACGGUCUUGCUGUCACUUAUAGAUGGAUCCGCGCUGCAUUAGCUAGUUGGUAAGGUAACGGCUUACCAAGGCAACGAUGCAUAGCCGACCUGAGAGGGUGAUCGGCCACACUGGACCUGAGACACGGUCCAGACUCCUACGGGAGGCAGCAGUAGGGAAUCUUCCGCAAUGGGAGAAAGCCUGACGGAGCAACGCCGCGUGAGUGAUGAAGGUCUUCGGAUCGUAAAACUCUGUUAUUAGGAAAGAACAUAUGUGUAAGUAACUGUGAACAUCUUGACGGUACCUAAUCAGAAAGCCACGGCUAACUACGUG
rnacentral:rRNA from 1 species